UUGUUCACUCGCAGGCUGAGUGACUGCCAGCGCCAGAGAAUGAGAGGCAGGUCGGCUGUCAGAGCUCUGACAGGGUUCUACAUGGAGCCGAAUUACCUCCGAGGUCGUCUCCUCUCCAAAACAAACAGACCCGGUCAUUGAAACAUUAAAACACAGCCACGUAGCAACGUUAGCCCUGUAAACAGAAUCAGGACCUGAUGUGGCCCAUUCUGCG